rnacentral:rRNA from 1 species
UACGGAGGGUGCAAGCGUUAAUCGGAAUUACUGGGCGUAAAGCGCACGCAGGUGGCUGAGUCAGUCGAUUGUGAAAGCCCUGGGCUUAACCUAGGAAUUGCAGUCGAUACUACUCAGCUAGAGUAUGGGGGAGGGCAGUGGAAUUCCCGGUGUAGCGGUGAAAUGCGUAGAUAUCUGGAGGAACACCGGUGGCGAAGGCGGCAUCCUGGACCGGUAUUGACGCUGAGGCGCGAAAGCCAGGGGAGCAAACGGG